rnacentral:rRNA from 1 species
UGGGGAAUAUUGCGCAAUGGGGGAAACCCUGACGCAGCAACGCCGCGUGAAGGAUGAAGGCUUUCGGGUUGUAAACUUCUUUGAUGAGGGACGAAAAAAAUGACGGUACCUCAAAAACAAGCCACGGCUAACUACGUGCCAGCAGCCGCGGUAAUACGUAGGUGGCGAGCGUUGUCCGGAAUUACUGGGUGUAAAGGGCGUGUAGGCGGGGAUGUAAGUCAGAUGUGAAAUACCCGGGCUUAACUUGGGUGCUGCAUCUGAAACUAUAUUUCUUGAGUGCCGGAGAGGAAAGCGGAAUUCCCAGUGUAGCGGUGAAAUGCGUAGAUAUUGGGAGGAACACCAGUGGCGAAGGCGGCUUUCUGGACGGUAACUGACGCUGAGGCGCGAAAGCGUGGGGAGCAAACAGG